CUUCUUCUUGGCACAAAAAAAAAAAAUGGUCUGCUGGGCAAAGAACUACCCUUGCCUCAGCUGCAGACAGAAUGCAUGCUGUCCUUUUUGGAUGAGCAGGACACAUCAGUGACUGCUGAACCUUGCCAAGACAGGCUCACCCUCGAUGGCUACAUCUACAAAACAACAUCUGCACCUGAGGCUCAGAGAACAUUGCAGAAGUGAGAGCAGAAAGACGUCUGCAGUCAUUGAUGCCACUACAAAAGAAGCCUCCUUGCCCAUAGCAGCACAACGCGGCACAGAUUACGAACUUCUACAUGGUGGUGGCAGCAUUGAUCGUAAACUUCAACCUGCUUUCUGGCUGCACCCAGGAUCACGGACAUCAACCUGGUCCUCAGCGGCAGCGCAGACCACAUCCACACAGCCCGGCCUGCCGAGGCGGCACUGACCACAGACACCACCAUGGCGACCAGCGGCAGCACUGACUAGGCAGCAUGGACCACAGAAGUCUUUCCAGGAGACUUAACCCAGAAAAUGAGCCAUUCUUCAACUCGGGUAACUUGUUGCUCAGAGGCAGCGUGUCCAGAGGCAGGACCUGUGUGAGAGCUCCAGGCUACUGUACACCACCCCGCCCUACGUGCCAGCCACCCUGCCAGCCAGCACCCACCCUAACAUGACCAUUGCAUUUGCAGCCUUCGGGCAGCUCAGUGAAUAUUUUUUAAAGUGUUCAGUGUCACUUAGCAAUCAAAGAAAGGCACAUUGAAACUACCUUUAGAUUCCAUCUCACCCCAGCAAAAUUGCCACCAUCAAAAAAAAAAAAAAAAAAGCAGUAAGUGCUGCAGGAUGAGAAGAAAGAGGAAUCCUUAUUCACUGUUGGUAGACUUGCAGCUGUGCAGCCACUGUGGAAAUCAGUGUAGAAGUUUCUUAAAAAGCUAAAAUAGAAUUACUGUACGACUCAGUGAUAGCACUCCUGAGCAUAGGACCCAAAGGACUCCACACCCUUUCACAAAGAUACAUGUACCUCUACGUUCAUUACAAUUCUACACACAAUAGCUAGGAAAUGGAAUCAACCUAGAUAUCCAUCAACUGAUGGAAGGAUAAGGAAGGCGUGACAUACAAUGAAAUUUUAUUCAGCUAUAAAGAAAAUUGAAACAAUGAAAUUUAUAAAUGGAUAGAACCGAAAAACAAUAUAUUAAGAGGGGUAACCUAGGCUAAGAAGGACAAAAUCGUGUGCUCCCUGUCAUAGGUGGAUCCUAGUUUCUUCUAAUUGUUCAGCAUGUGUGGUUACGUGGAGUAAGUAUGGGUGAAAUCCAGGAAAUUAAAGGGGCCGUGAGAUCGGAGGGAAACAGAGGCAUUCUGGGAGGGGGUGAUAAGACGAGAGAACACAUUUUAUAUGAAAGUGCAAGAGGACAUUCAGGAGGCAAAGGGAUACAGAAGGGAAGUGGGCAAGAGGCAAGUGAGGAACAGGGAAGAAUCCAGCAACAUGAACGACACAUGAAAACGCCAUAGGGAAACUUGCUACUUUGUAAGCUAACUAAAGCAAA